rnacentral:rRNA from 1 species
UAAGGAAUAUUGGUCAAUGGACGCAAGUCUGAACCAGCCAUGCCGCGUGAAGGAUGAAGGUCCUCUGGAUUGUAAACUUCUUUUAUCUGGGACGAAAACGGGAUUUUUAUCUCAAUUUACGGUACCAUUUAUAAGCUCCGGCUAACUACGUGCCAGCAGCCGCGGUAAUACGUAGGGAGCAAGCGUUGUUCGGAUUUACUGGGCGUAAAGGGCGCGUAGGCGGCGCGGUAAGUCACUUGUGAAAUCUCUGAGCUUAACUCAGAACGGCCAAGUGAUACUGCUGUGCUAGAGUGCGGAAGAGGCAACCGUAAUUCUUGGUGUAGCGGUGAAAUGCGUAGAUAGCAAGAGGAACACCUGAGGCGAAGGCGGGUUGCUGGGCCGACACUGACGCUGAUGCGCGAAAGCCAGG